rnacentral:rRNA from 1 species
AGGACGAACGCUGGCGGCGUGCUUAACACAUGCAAGUCGAACGGUAAGGCCUUUCGGGGUACACGAGUGGCGAACGGGUGAGUAACACGUGGGUGAUCUGCCCUGCACUUUGGGAUAAGCCUGGGAAACUGGGUCUAAUACCGAAUAUGACCAUUGGUUGCAUGACUGGUGGUGGAAAGCUUUUGCGGUGUGGGAUGGGCCCGCGGCCUAUCAGCUUGUUGGUGGGGUUAAGGCCUACCAAGGCGACGACGGGUAGCCGGCCUGAGAGGGUGUCCGGCCACACUGGGACUGAGAUACGGCCCAGACUCCUACGGGAGGCAGCAGUGGGGAAUAUUGCACAAUGGGCGCAAGCCUGAUGCAGCGACGCCGCGUGAGGGACGACGGCCUUCGGGUUGUAAACCUCUUUCAGUAGGGACGAAGCGCAAGUGACGGUACCUACAGAAGAAGGACCGGCCGAACUACGUGCCAGCAGCCGC